CCUGGGGGGGGCUCUACACAAAGCUGGGGGCACCCAUGGGUGGCCCCGAUGGAAUCCCGUGGGGGGGCACCCAUGGGUGGUCCCUACAUAAAGAUGUUGGCACCCAUGGGUGCCCCCACACCAAGCCCAUGGCACCCAUGGGUGCCCCUACAAGAUGGUAGCACCCAUGGGUGGCCCCAUUCCAGCUCAUAGCACCCAUGGGUGCCCCUUACAUAAAGCCAGUGGCACCCAUGGGUGGCCCCUAUAUAAAGUCAAUGGCACCCAUGGGUGCCCCUACACCAAGCCAGUAGCACCCAUGGGUGCCCCCUACCUGAAGCCACUGGCACCCAUGGGUGCCCCCUAUAUAAAGUCAAUGGCACCCAUGGGUGGUCCCUACCUCAAGCUGGUAGCACCCAUGGGUGCCCCCUACCUGAAGCCACUGGCACCCAUAGGUGCCCCCUAUAUAAAGUCAAUGGCACCCAUGGGUGCCCCUACACCAAGAUGCUGGCACCCAUGGGUGCCUCUACACCAGCUCAUAGCACCCAUGGGUGCCCCUACACCAAGCCAGUGGCACCCAUGGGUGUCCCCUAUAUAAAGUCAAUGUCACCCAUGGGUGCCCCUACACAAAGCCAGUGGCACCCAUGGGUGCCCCAACACCAGCUCAUAGCACCCAUGGGUGUCUCCUACCUCAAGCUGGUAGCACCCAUGGGUGUCCCCAACACCAAGCACAUGGCACCCAUGGGUGAUCCCUACCUCAAGCUGGUAGCACCCAUGGGUGCCCCUACACCAAGCCCAUGGCACCCAUGGGCGGUCCCCACCUCAAACUGAUAGCACCCAUGGGUGCCCCCUACAUAAAGUCAAUGGCACCCAUGGGUGUCCCCUAUAUAAAGUCAAUGGCACCCAUGGGUGCCCCUACACCAAGCUGGUGGCACCCAUGGGUGCCCCCUACCUGAAGCCAGUAGCACCCAUGGGUGUCCCCUACAAAAAGCCAGUGGCACCCAUGGGUGCCCCCUAUAUAAAGUCAAUGGCACCCACGGGUGCCCCUACAUAAAGCCACUGGCACCCAUGGGUGCCCAUAUAUAAAGCCAGUG
rnacentral:lncRNA from 1 species